UAAAGCGACUAAGCGUACACGGUGGAUGCCCUGGCAGUCAGAGGCGAUGAAGGACGUGCUAAUCUGCGAUAAGCGUCGGUAAGGUGAUAUGAACCGUUAUAACCGGCGAUUUCCGAAUGGGGAAACCCAGUGUGAUUCGUCACACUAUCAUUAACUGAAUCCAUAGGUUAAUGAGGCGAACCGGGGGAACUGAAACAUCUAAGUACCCCGAGGAAAAGAAAUCAACCGAGAUUCCCCCAGUAGCGGCGAGCGAACGGGGAGCAGCCCAGAGCCUGAAUCAGUGUGUGUGUAGUGGAAGCGUCUGGAAAGGCGCGCGAUACAGGGUGACAGCCCCGUACACAAAAAUGCACAUACUGUGAGCUCGAUGAGUAGGGCGGGACACGUGGUAUCCUGUCUGAAUAUGGGGGGACCAUCCUCCAAGGCUAAAUACUCCUGACUGACCGAUAGUGAACCAGUACCGUGAGGGAAAGGCGAAAAGAACCCCGGCGAGGGGAGUGAAAAAGAACCUGAAACCGUGUACGUACAAGCAGUGGGAGCACGCUUAGGCGUGUGACUGCGUACCUUUUGUAUAAUGGGUCAGCGACUUAUAUUCUGUAGCAAGGUUAACCGAAUAGGGGAGCCGAAGGGAAACCGAGUCUUAACUGGGCGUUAAGUUGCAGGGUAUAGACCCGAAACCCGGUGAUCUAGCCAUGGGCAGGUUGAAGGUUGGGUAACACUAACUGGAGGACCGAACCGACUAAUGUUGAAAAAUUAGCGGAUGACUUGUGGCUUGGGGUGAAAGGCCAAUCAAACCGGGAGAUAGCUGGUUCUCCCCGAAAGCUAUUUAGGUAGCGCCUCGUGAAUUCAUCUCCGGGGGUAGAGCACUGUUUCGGCAAGGGGGUCAUCCCGACUUACCAACCCGAUGCAAACUGCGAAUACCGGAGAAUGUUAUCACGGGAGACACACGGCGGGUGCUAACGUCCGUCGUGAAGAGGGAAACAACCCAGACCGCCAGCUAAGGUCCCAAAGUCAUGGUUAAGUGGGAAACGAUGUGGGAAGGCCCAGACAGCCAGGAUGUUGGCUUAGAAGCAGCCAUCAUUUAAAGAAAGCGUAAUAGCUCACUGGUCGAGUCGGCCUGCGCGGAAGAUGUAACGGGGCUAAACCAUGCACCGAAGCUGCGGCAGCGACGCUUAUGCGUUGUUGGGUAGGGGAGCGUUCUGUAAGCCUGUGAAGGUGUGCUGUGAGGCAUGCUGGAGGUAUCAGAAGUGCGAAUGCUGACAUAAGUAACGAUAAAGCGGGUGAAAAGCCCGCUCGCCGGAAGACCAAGGGUUCCUGUCCAACGUUAAUCGGGGCAGGGUGAGUCGACCCCUAAGGCGAGGCCGAAAGGCGUAGUCGAUGGGAAACAGGUUAAUAUUCCUGUACUUGGUGUUACUGCGAAGGGGGGACGGAGAAGGCUAUGUUGGCCGGGCGACGGUUGUCCCGGUUUAAGCGUGUAGGCUGGUUUUCCAGGCAAAUCCGGAAAAUCAAGGCUGAGGCGUGAUGACGAGGCACUACGGUGCUGAAGCAACAAAUGCCCUGCUUCCAGGGAAAGCCUCUAAGCAUCAGGUAACAUCAAAUCGUACCCCAAACCGACACAGGUGGUCAGGUAGAGAAUACCAAGGCGCUUGAGAGAACUCGGGUGAAGGAACUAGGCAAAAUGGUGCCGUAACUUCGGGAGAAGGCACGCUGAUAUGUAGGUGAAGUCCCUCGCGGAUGGAGCUGAAUCAGUCGAAGAUACCAGCUGGCUGCAACUGUUUAUUAAAAACACAGCACUGUGCAAACACGAAAGUGGACGUAUACGGUGUGACGCCUGCCCGGUGCCGGAAGGUUAAUUGAUGGGGUCAGCGCAAGCGAAGCUCUUGAUCGAAGCCCCGGUAAACGGCGGCCGUAACUAUAACGGUCCUAAGGUAGCGAAAUUCCUUGUCGGGUAAGUUCCGACCUGCACGAAUGGCGUAAUGAUGGCCAGGCUGUCUCCACCCGAGACUCAGUGAAAUUGAACUCGCUGUGAAGAUGCAGUGUACCCGCGGCAAGACGGAAAGACCCCGUGAACCUUUACUAUAGCUUGACACUGAACAUUGAGCCUUGAUGUGUAGGAUAGGUGGGAGGCUUUGAAGUGUGGACGCCAGUCUGCAUGGAGCCGACCUUGAAAUACCACCCUUUAAUGUUUGAUGUUCUAACGUUGACCCGUAAUCCGGGUUGCGGACAGUGUCUGGUGGGUAGUUUGACUGGGGCGGUCUCCUCCUAAAGAGUAACGGAGGAGCACGAAGGUUGGCUAAUCCUGGUCGGACAUCAGGAGGUUAGUGCAAUGGCAUAAGCCAGCUUGACUGCGAGCGUGACGGCGCGAGCAGGUGCGAAAGCAGGUCAUAGUGAUCCGGUGGUUCUGAAUGGAAGGGCCAUCGCUCAACGGAUAAAAGGUACUCCGGGGAUAACAGGCUGAUACCGCCAAGAGUUCAUAUCGACGGCGGUGUUUGGCACCUCGAUGUCGGCUCAUCACAUCCUGGGGCUGAAGUAGGUCCCAAGGGUAUGGCUGUUCGCCAUUUAAAGUGGUACGCGAGCUGGGUUUAGAACGUCGUGAGACAGUUCGGUCCCUAUCUGCCGUGGGCGCUGGAGAACUGAGGGGGGCUGCUCCUAGUACGAGAGGACCGGAGUGGACGCAUCACUGGUGUUCGGGUUGUCAUGCCAAUGGCACUGCCCGGUAGCUAAAUGCGGAAGAGAUAAGUGCUGAAAGCAUCUAAGCACGAAACUUGCCCCGAGAUGAGUUCUCCCUGACCCUUUAAGGGUCCUGAAGGAACGUUGAAGACGACGACGUUGAUAGGCCGGGUGUGUAAGCGCAGCGAUGCGUUGAGCUAACCGGUACUAAUGAACCGUGAGGCUUAACCUU
rnacentral:rRNA from 1 species